rnacentral:lncRNA from 1 species
ACACAACGCGAAGACUAUCGGCCACCCCGCAACCGCAGCCGCACACCAAUCUAUAUCCUUGAAAUAGGAUACAGCUCUGACUCCCAACACCUACACAAACGAGAAGAGAAGUCCCAACAACACCAAGAACUCAAACAACUCCUAGAAGAAGCUGGAUGGACCGUCCACUACUCACCCGCCGAGUGCAUCGCCCUAGGCGUCACUGGUACCAUACCCGCAAACCUGGUCCCACUCCUGACCACCCCAGGCGUGUCCCCCAAGGCGGCCAAAGCCUGCGGACACAAGCUCCACCACCACGCCGUCAAUAGUGCUGGAGGCAUAAUUAAAGCCCGCAGGAUCAUGGAAUACGGGCACACGAGGACCCCAGGGUGAUGUCCCCAACCGGCCCCCCUUGCGUGGUGAGGCGGCAGGGUAGGGGAUGGGCCCCUUCACUGACCCGCCUUGCCCCGAUAAUCCACGCCAGGCCCUACGGGCCGGCGUUUCGAUUAUUAUUAUUAUUA